rnacentral:rRNA from 1 species
AGUUUGAUCCUGGCUCAGAUUGAACGCUGGCGGCAUGCUUUACACAUGCAAGUCGAACGGUAACAGGCCUUCGGGUGCUGACGAGUGGCGAACGGGUGAGUAAUGCAUCGGAACGUGCCCAGUCGUGGGGGAUAACUAGUCGAAAGAUUAGCUAAUACCGCAUACGUCCUGAGGGAGAAAGCGGGGGACCGAAAGGCCUCGCGCGAUUGGAGCGGCCGAUGUCAGAUUAGGUAGUUGGUGGGGUAAAGGCCUACCAAGCCGACGAUCUGUAGCGGGUCUGAGAGGAUGAUCCGCCACACUGGGACUGAGACACGGCCCAGACUCCUACGGGAGGCAGCAGUGGGGAAUUUUGGACAAUGGGGGCAACCCUGAUCCAGCCAUGCCGCGUGCGGGAAGAAGGCCUUCGGGUUGUAAACCGCUUUCGGACGGAAAGAAAUCGCGCAGGCUAAUAUCCUGUGUGGAUGACGGUACCGUAAGAAGAAGCACCGGCUAACUACGUGCCAGCAGCCGCGGUAAUACGUAGGGUGUGAGCGUUAAUCGGAAUUACUGGGCGUAAAGCGUGCGCAGGCGGAUAUUUAAGUCAGACGUGAAAUCCCCGGGCUUAACCUGGGAAUUGCGUUUGAAACUGGAUAUCUAGAGUGCGUCAGAGGGGGGUGGAAUUCCACGUGUAGCAUGAAGUGCGGCCAGAUGUGGGAGGAACACCGAUGGCGUAAGCAGUAAUCAGUGGUUCUCACUGACUCUGGUGCAAGACGGCGAGGGGAGCGAACAAUGAUCGGAUACCCUGGGUAUACACCCGGGAAACGACGGAACUAACCUGCUGGGUUGCGGAC